CUCAAAUGAAGUGUAUAGGCAUAUGACAUGAAACCUUCAAACAUUCGUUGAAAUCGUGUAUAUCCUGCGCACGCAAAAUUAGACGGAUUCGCCUUGAAAUAAUAAAGGGAACGUGGCACUUGUGAGAUAUAAAGUUUAUUGUACCAAGUUCGUAUUGUGGACAAUAGAUUAGAAGAGACUACUCCUUCCUUCGAAUGUUCGAAUGUAACUAACUCAAAACUAAUUUUACAAACCCAUUCAGGGUCUCGCCUACUUCUUCUGGCAAGAGGGGCCCACAUUAAGUUUAAACUUUCUUAUUAUUUGGUUGUAUAAACUAAUCCAAACUAAAGUAGUUAAUGGUCAGGUUAUGGUAUUACCUGACUCUUGGUACCGUCAAACGGGACUUUAUGGCGUGGCCUAAGUGAAGAACGCAUGCAGCCAACAUUUCUUUUACAACAUGUCCUAGGAGAUGAUUUUUGGAUGAUGGAGUACCAACCGAGCGAGGGAUUCGUCUAUUCAGUCCAAGGCACAAUUUGGGGAGUGCGGGAUUUUUUACAGAUAUUUUUCAACGCAAAAAACAUCUGACGUCUAAACAGUAAACGAAUAUUUUCUCACCGAUUCGACAGAGGGCAAUAAACUUAUACCACGAUAAAUUCUAAUUGGC